GAUGAACGCUGGCGGCGUGCCUAAUACAUGCAAGUCGAGCGAACAGAUGAGGAGCUUGCUCCUCUGACGUUAGCGGCGGACGGGUGAGUAACACGUGGAUAACCUACCUAUAAGACUGGGAUAACUUCGGGAAACCGGAGCUAAUACCGGAUAAUAUAUUGAACCGCAUGGUUCAAUAGUGAAAGACGGUUUUGCUGUCACUUAUAGAUGGAUCCGCGCCGCAUUAGCUAGUUGGUAAGGUAACGGCUUACCAAGGCAACGAUGCGUAGCCGACCUGAGAGGGUGAUCGGCCACACUGGAACUGAGACACGGUCCAGACUCCUACGGGAGGCAGCAGUAGGGAAUCUUCCGCAAUGGGCGAAAGCCUGACGGAGCAACGCCGCGUGAGUGAUGAAGGUCUUCGGAUCGUAAAACUCUGUUAUUAGGAAAGAACAAAUGUGUAAGUAACUAUACACGUCUUGACGGUACCUAAUCAGAAAGCCACGGCUAACUACGUG
rnacentral:rRNA from 1 species